rnacentral:misc_RNA from 1 species
GAAAUGCGAUACGUAAUGUGAAUUGCAGAAUUCAGUGAAUCAUCGAAUCUUUGAACGCAUAUUGCGCUCUCUGGUAUUCCGGAGAGCAUGCUUGUUUGAGUAUCAGUAAACACCUCAACUCCCUUUUCUUUUUUGAAAUGGGAGCUGGACUUGAGUGAUCCCAACACUUUUCUCACUGGAAAGUGGCGGGUCACUUGAAAUGCAGGUGCAGCUGGACUUUUCUCUGAGCUAUAAGCAUAUCUAUUUAGUCUGCCUAAAAAACAGAUUAUUACCUUUGCUGCAGCUAACAUAAAGGAGAUGAGUUCUUGUGCUGACUGAUGCAGGAUUCACAGAGACAGCUUUGCGGCUGACUUUGUAAACUCGAUCUCAAAUCAAGUAAGACUACCCGCUGAACUUAA